GCUUGUCGAGCUUUUUAUACGACCGCAAAUUUUGAAAAAAUUUUCGUCGUAUAUUGCUAUCACGUUGGCGUCGGCGUCGUCGUCGUCGUCGUCGUCGUCGUCGUCGUCCGGCGUCCGAAUACUUUUAGUUUUCGCACUCUAACUUUAGUAAAAGUGAAUGGAAAUCUAUGAAAUUUUAACACAAGGUUUAUGACCACAAAAGGAAGGUUGGUAUUGAUUUUGGG
rnacentral:lncRNA from 1 species